rnacentral:rRNA from 1 species
CAAUAGCGUAUAUUUAAGUUGCUGCAGUUAAAAAGCUCGUAGUUGGAUUUCGGGUGGGAAUGGCCGGUCCGCCGUUUCGGUGUGCACUUGCUACGCCCACCUUGCUGCCGGGGACGUGCUCUUGAGUUCACGCUCGGGACACGGAGUCGGCGAGGUUACUUUGAGUAAAUUAGAGCGUUCAAAGCAGGCCUACGCUCUGAAUACAUUAGCAUGGAACAACACGAUAGGACUCUGGCCUAUCUUGUUGGUCUGUAGGACCGGAGUAAUGAUUAAGAGGGACAGUCGGGGGCAUUCGUAUUUCAUUGUCAGAGGUGAAAUUCUUGGAUUUAUGAAAGACGAACUACUGCGAAAGCAUUUGCCAAGGAUGUUUUCAUUAA